rnacentral:misc_RNA from 1 species
GUGAAUCAUCGAAUUUUUGAACGCAAAUUGCGCCUUCUUUCGGGAGGCAUGUCUGUUUGAGGGCACCAUUUAACAAAUAAUGUGAGCGUCGUCUGUGCAUACUAGCGGCGUGCACACGUUGAUGAGCUUUUCCGAGUAAACCAGGUUUUUUCGGAGGUGCAUAAUGAAUAGCGUGGGCUUUUUCUUUCGUUUCUUGUAUAGUAAGUAAAUUUAGCCG